rnacentral:rRNA from 1 species
UACGUAGGGGGCGAGCGUUGUCCGGAGUUACUGGGCGUAAAGCGCACGCAGGCGGUCUGCUAAGUUUGGAGUGACAGUUGGUGGCUCAACCACCAAGGUGCUUUGAAAACUGACAGACUUGAGGGCUUCAGAGGGACACGGAAUUCCGGGUGGAGUGGUGAAAUGCGUAGAGAUCCGGAGGAACACCAAAGGCGAAGGCAGUGUCCUGGGGAGUACCUGACGCUCAGGUGCGAAAGCCAGGGGAGCGAACGGG